CAGCAGCCACGGUAAUACGGAGGGCGCGAGCGUUACCCGGAUUUACUGGGCGUAAAGGGCGUGUAGGCGGCCUGGGGCGUCCCAUGUGAAAGGCCACGGCUCAACCGUGGAGGAGCGUGGGAUACGCUCAGGCUAGAGGGUGGGAGAGGGUGGUGGAAUUCCCGGAGUAGCGGUGAAAUGCGCAGAUACCGGGAGGAACGCCGAUGGCGAAGGCAGCUACCUGGUCCACUUCUGACGCUGAGGCGCGAAAGCGUGGGGAGCAAGCCGGAUUAGAUACCCCAGUAGUCCCUGUCUCUUAUAC
rnacentral:rRNA from 1 species